rnacentral:rRNA from 1 species
UACGGAGGAUCCAAGCGUUAUCCGGAUUCAUUGGGUUUAAAGGGUGCGUAGGCGGAAUAGUAAGUCAGUGGUGAAAGCCUGUUGCUUAACAACAGAACUGCCAUUGAUACUGCUAAUCUUGAGUACAUUUGAUGUGGGCGGAAUGUGUCGUGUAGCGGUGAAAUGCUUAGAUAUGACACAGAACACCGAUUGCGAAGGCAGCUCACAAAACUGUUACUGACGCUGAGGCACGAAAGCGUGGGGAUCAAACAGG